rnacentral:rRNA from 1 species
GCCUCAGUACGGCGAGUGAAGCGGCAACAGCUCAAAUUUGAAAUCUGGCCUUUUGGCCCGAGUUGUAAUUUGGAGAGGAUGCUUUUGGCGCGGUGCCUUCCGAGUUCCUUGGAACAGGACGCCAGAGAGGGUGAGAGCCCCGUACGGUGGGACACCAAGCCUUUGUAAAGCUCCUUCGACGAGUCGAGUAGUUUGGGAAUGCUGCUCAAAAUGGGAGGUAAAUUUCUUCUAAAGCUAAAUACCGGCCAGAGACCGAUAGCGCACAAGUAGAGUGAUCGAAAGAUGAAAAGCACUUUGAAAAGAGGGUUAAACAGUACGUGAAAUUGUUGAAAGGGAAGCGCCUGUGACCAGACUUGCGCCCCGCGGACCAUCCGGCGUUCUCGCCGGUGCACUCCGCGGGGUGCAGGCCAGCAUCGGUUUUCCCAGGGGGAUAAAGGUCGCGGGAACGUAGCUCUUUCGGGAGUGUUAUAGCCCGUGGCGUCAUGCCCUUGGGGGGACCGAGGACCGCGCUUCGGCAAGGAUGCUGGCGUAAUGGUCACCAGCGA